rnacentral:rRNA from 1 species
GAUGAACGCUAGCGAUAGGCUUAACACAUGCAAGUCGAGGGGCAGCAUGGUCUUAGCUUGCUAAGACUGAUGGCGACCGGCGCACGGGUGCGUAACGCGUAUGCAACUUGCCUCACAGAGGGGGAUAACCCGUCGAAAGACGGACUAAUACCGCGUACACUCCACUUUGGGCAUCCAAAGUAGAGGAAAUGAAAUUCGCUGUGAGAUAGGCAUGCGUCCCAUUAGCUAGUUGGUGAGGUAACGGCUCACCAAGGCGACGAUGGGUAGGGGAACUGAGAGGUUGAACCCCCACACUGGUACUGAGACACGGACCAGACUCCUACGGGAGGCAGCAGUGAGGAAUAUUGGUCAAUGGGCGAGAGCCUGAACCAGCCAAGUCGCGUGAAGGAUGACUGUCUUAUGGAUUGUAAACUUCUUUUAUACGGGAAUAACAAGAGCCACGUGUGGCUCCCUGCAUGUACCGUAUGAAUAAGCAUCGGCUAACUCCGUGCCAGCAGCCGCGGUAAUACGGAGGAUGCGAGCGUUAUCCGGAUUUAUUGGGUUUAAAGGGUGCGUAGGCGGCCUGUUAAGUCAGCGGUGAAAUCUAGGAGCUUAACUCCUAAAUUGCCAUUGAUACUGGCGGGCUUGAGUGUAGAUGAGGUAGGCGGAAUGCGUGGUGUAGCGGUGGAAUGCAUAGAUAUCACGCAGAACUCCGAUUGCGAAGGCAGCUUACUAAGGUACAACUGACGCUGAAGCACGAAAGCGUGGGUAUCAAACAGGAUUAGAUACCCUGGUAGUCCACGCAGUAAACGAUGAUAACUGGGCGUAUGCGAUAUACAGUAUGCU